rnacentral:rRNA from 1 species
AUGAACGCUGGCGGCGUGCCUCAUACCUGCAAGUCGCGCGAACGGACGAGAAGCUUGCUUCUCUGAUGUUAGCGGCGGACGGGUGAGUAACACGUGGAUAACCUACCUAUAAGACUGGGAUAACUUCGGGAAACCGGAGCUAAUACCGGAUAAUAUUUUGAACCGCAUGGUUCAAAAGUGAAAGACGGUCUUGCUGUCACUUAUAGAUGGAUCCGCGCUGCAUUAGCUAGUUGGUAAGGUAACGGCUUACCAAGGCAACGAUGCAUAGCCGACCUGAGAGGGUGAUCGGCCACACUGGAACUGAGACACGGUCCAGACUCCUACGGGAGGCAGCAGUAGGGAAUCUUCCGCAAUGGGCGAAAGCCUGACGGAGCAACGCCGCGUGAGUGAUGAAGGUCUUCGGAUCGUAAAACUCUGCUAUUAGGGAAGAACAUAUGUGUAAGUAACUGUGCACAUCUUGACGGUACCUAAUCAGAAAGCCACGGCUAACUACGUG